rnacentral:lncRNA from 1 species
UUUUUUCUUUUUUUGUCUUUUCUAGGGCCACACCCGAGGCACAUGGAGGUUCCCAGGCUAGGGGUCUAAACAGAGCUAUAGCUGCCAGCCUACGCCAGAGCCACAGCAAUUCAGGAUCAGAGCCAUGUCUGCAGCCUACACCACAGCUCACAGCAAUGCCGGAUCCUUAACGCACUGAGCGAGGCCAGGGUUCAAACCCGACAGAGUCCUCAUGAUCCUAGUCGGGCUGAUUACCACUGAGCCAUGACAGGAAUUCCCUUAACUGGGUUUUGAAAUUUCUUCAGAUAUGCUUCACAUAUUUUACUGCCAUGAAUUUGCCUUUGGUUGUUAUUCGGAAAGAAGCUAAGAGAAUUUCUUUCUUUAAUUUUCCUGAUUGCUAUUUCUUUAUUGAAAAAAAAUAAUCUUUUCAUAGCUUUACUUUUAACCACCUCUCUGCUAUAGACUGAAUAUUUGUGGCCCCUCCCCCUACUAGUAGGUUGAAACCUAACCCCCUGUGUGAUGGUAGUUGGAGGUGGAGUCUUUGGAAAGUGAUCUGAUCCUCGUGAAUGGAAUUGGUGCCCUUAUAAAACCCCAGAGGGCUGGCCUGCCUCUUUGUACUGGUAGCAUCUAUGACCAGAGAGUGGGACUCAAGGACACUGAAACUUCCAUCACUUGUUCUUGGUUUCCCAGCCUCCAGAACUAUGAGAAAUAAAGGUUUGUUUUUUAUGCUGCCAUCUAGGUUGUUUUGUUACAGCAGCCUCGCUGACUGUGACACACCCUUUCCGCAAUUACACUAACAGCUUUCAGUUGGAGUUCCUUGAGUUUCCCCUGUAUUUACUUACGUCAUCUGCAACUCAUGAUCAUUUUUUUCUCUCUCAAAAUAUUAAUGCCUUUUCUCUUUCCAUUUUCUACCACAUUGUGCUGGACAGUAUGUUCAUAACAAUGUGAAAAAAAUUGAUGGCUGUGGCAGGAAUCCUGGCCAGGUUCCCAAUUGUAAAUGGAACAGUCCCUACUGCUUCACCAGUAGGCAUUCUGCUGGCUAAGAUUUUAUUAUGCUUAUUCUUAGUCAUCUACAGAAAUAUGAUUUUCUUAGUUUUCUAAGAGCUUCCUUUUCAUCUGUAAGAAAUAGGUUGCUUUGUAUCAUACAUUUUUUUUACAUCUGUUUAAACUACUGUAUUUCGUGUCUUUUGAAAUAGUGCUAUGUUUUAAUAUAUUAAUAGAUUCCCUAAUACUAAACCAUUCUUGCAUUUCAGGAUGGACUCUAUUUCACUGUCGCGGGUGAGUUACACUGAUUGUUUACAGAAAUAUGGAUUUUCACAUAUAUAUUCAUAAUUGGGAUCAGCCUAUAAUAAAGGUUCUCAUGUGUGGGAAAGCAAAAAUAGCGCUUGGAGAACAACUUUAAAAAUUAAGAUUAUACAACCCAAAAGCCAUGGCAAAGAGAAAGAUAAAUUUGAUUAUCAAAUAAUUUUAAUUCCCUAAUAGAAAAAAAUGCUUCAUAGCCAAAAGACAAAUGGGAAUUUGUUAAAAUAUAGCAAAUUUACAGAUCAAUUCCAUAUUUUGCAAAGUGCUCAAGCAAUCAAUUACAAAAAGAGAAGAAAUCCAAUAGCAAAGUAAACAGUGGCUACAAACAAGUCAUUUACACUGGGAAACACUAUAAAUAGAUAAUAGAAUUUGAAAUAAUGCCCAACCUCUUUAAUUAUUAAAGAAACACAAUCCAAAGCUACAAUAGCUAUUAUUUUAAGCUUAUUAAAAUAGCAAAAUUCCAAAUAUUUGAUGAUGGCACCCAGUCCUACCAAAGAUAUGGGAAUGCAGUCACUGAACAUUCCUUAUUGUUUCUAGAGAAGGAUUUGGCAAUAGCUAUCACAUUAAAAAUCCAUGUAUAUUAGAUCCAGCAAUUCUGCUGCCAAGAAUUUACCAUAUGGCGAUCGUCACAAAAUAUAUGCAGAAAGUGUAAAACUAGAGCAAAAAAACCAAUGUAUCCACCAAGAGAAGACUGGUUAAACAAAUGAAGACAUGUCCUUUUAAUGAAAUAGCCAUAAAAAAAUCAAUUGAUCUGUGUGUACUAAUAUGGAACAUUUGCAAUAUAAAUUAUUAGAUGAAAGAAAGCACGUUGAGUGUAUUCUGGCCCCUUUUUUAGAUGUAUGGAAGGAUGGAUAGACGGAUACUGCUAUGUCCAUCAUUUUUGUUGUUCAUACGCGAAUGUGACCUUUAGGGACAGAACGUUAAGAUGGACGGAGGGAAAGUAACAAGGACACUUAUUGUGUACUCUGCACUGUUUGGGUCUUCCCUGAUACGUCUAUUAAAAUCUAUUAUCAGCAAAGAUUUUCUAAGAGUUUCAAAAUGGGUUCUCUACUAUGUCCUAUACUUUUUUAUAUUAAAUGGACAAUAAGAAUUGAAAGCUGUAUUCCUGGGCUCCUCCCUAAUGACUCUCACUCAUGAGAAGUGGGUCCAGGAAUCUGAAUUUUUUACAAAUAUUCAGGAUCAGUUUAAUGAAGGUACCUGAACUAUUUAUAAUAGCCAAUUCAUGGAAACAACCCAAACGUCCAUCAAGAGAUGGAAGAUAAGGAAGAUGAAUGAACUUAUCUACAAAACAGAAACAGACGCACAGAUAGAACAGACUUGUGGUUGCCAAGAGGGAACAGGGGCAAGGGCAGGCUGAAUUGGGAGUUUGGGACUAAUAGCUGCAAACUGUUAUAGAUAUGAUGGAUAAACAGCAAGGUCCAAUUGUAUAGCACAGAAACUACAUUCAAUAACAAACCACAGUGGAAAAGAAUAGGAAAAAAACGUAGGUGUACUAUAUACGGAUAAUUGAAUCAUUUUGCUCUACACCAGAAAUUAACACAACAUUGUAAAUCAACCAUUCUUCAAUAAAAUAAAAUAAAAUAAAUAAUGAGGUUAGCUGAGAAACACAUUGAAAAUCUCAGUUCUGUAGCUAUGCUAUUUUUUUUUUCACCUCAUUCAGAUACUGACACCAAGGUUAAGCCGGCAUAAUAGGUGAUUUGCAUGCUACGGUUUUCUGUUGCCAACCUACACCUCAGCCCCAGCAAAGCCAGAUCCAAGCCAAGUCUGCGAACUGCGCCACAGCUCAGAGCAACGCCAGAUCCUUAACCCGCUGAGCAAAGCCAGGGAUCGAACCUGCAUCCUCAUGGAUACUAGUCAGAUUCGUUACCACUGAGCCACAACAGGAACUCCCUAUGAUUUACUAUUUCUAAAAGAAAUGUAUGAUCCAUGAUUUCUAUGAUUUUCUAUGUCGCAUCAGAAUGAUCAAUUUCUUGACAAUUUGUGAAACAAUUACCAAUUAAACAAGAGUAGUUGUAGAAAUCACUGUAAUUCAUGAUUAGCUCAGGAGGGUAGAGUCCUCAUGAAUGGGAUUUGUGCCCUUAUAAAAAAGCCCAGAGAGUGGGCCUGCCUCUUCUCAGGGAGAAGAAAGGUCCCAGGGAAAAGAAAGCCAUCUAGGACCAGGAAGUGGACUCACCAGGCACUGAAUUUGCCAGCAUCUCGAUCUUGGUUUCCCAGCCUCCAGAACUAUGAGAAAUAAAGGUUUGUCAUUUCAGCCGCCCGGUCUCUGGUGUUUGUUUCCAGCAGCCUCCACUGACUGGUCUAGACAGUUCCCUUUUGAAAUUACCCAAAAUAACUCUCUAAGUAAUAAAAGAAAUUAGAAUGCUUUGCCUCCUCCUCAUUUUCCAAUCCUUGUAAGUAUAAUUUGUGAAACCAAAAUGUUAUUUGUAUUAAAUUUUUAUAUCCUGUUAUUUUGUGUUUUAUAAUUCUGCAAUCAUAACAAUUAUUUAGAAUUAACAUUUCGUUCACCAUAGGAUUCAUUGACACUCUAGUUCUUUAAUGAUUGGAUUGGCCCAUUCUUAGGUAAAAGUGUUGGACUUAUCUUUCGGGCAGCUGUCAUAUGUCUUCAGACACAAUUUCCUAGAGUUUACAAGGGUGCUAUUUUUCUUUUAAAUCCUUCUGUAACUAUAAAUGCCUCUCUUUUUGCCUUUAAGCAUGAACAAUAUAUUAGACAACAACCUCUUACCUAACUGUGGAAUUCUUGGGAUAAAAAUUUUCAUCCAAACUCUACCGCUCUAAAACUAUCUUAUCAAGUUUUUAUAAAGUGCUAUGAAGAGUAAUCUAAGGGCAGCACAGUUACAUUUUUUUUUCCUUAUCGAAGAACAUUUUUUAAAAACGUUGCAAGGAUGUGAUACUCAAGCAAUAAUUUAUUCUGGAAAAUUCUGAGCUCCUUGGAUCACAACUCAUGUGACUGGGAUGAGGAUGCUGGUGCUGAUGAUGAAGAAGAAGAAGAAGAUAAUGGUGAUGAUUUUAACCAAGGACGUUUUCUUCUCUGUGUCUUCCCUUAGUCCUUUGUUCCGGUCUCUUUCUUCUGAAUGUUGCGCGUCUAAAAUUGGUUUCUGUUCUUCAUGUCAACUUCUCCCUCAUUUUUAAAAAUCUGUGUCUUCAGCAUUCCUAGAGGGACAUGGUUUGUCCUAUCAUUGAUUUGAUUUUCUGCAGUAUCAGUUCUAUUUCUUGUCUUCAAAGCAUGUUUUAAUUGUGCUAUUGCCUUUUCACUUCUCCAGAAUUCCCUUCUAGCUUCUGUCGGAUCCUUUCUUACGUCCGCUGGCCCUCCAGAGGGCUUUCUCGUAUUUAUUGAGAACACAAAGAGAACGUCUUCUAGUUUAUUUUUCAUCUUCUUUUCCUUACGUAUGCUUUUUCUCACAAGGCAUUUUUCUCA